UUUCCAAGCCUAGUUGUAAUUAAACCCUAAUAAUCCCACAACCCAAAUCAAACCACAUAUCAGCCGUCGGUUCUUCAAUUUCUCCACUUUCUUUUCUUUUGCUCUCAACGUCUCUUUUUCUCCAUCAAACCAGAAAUACUAACUAUCCACACCUUCUCUCUAACAUCCAACGAUUACAUGCACACAAUAAAAAUGACUAUUAUUUUUUCCCUACCAAACACAAACCAGCAACCAUUGCACCAGAUUCACCUCCGCAAAAGCUUCAUUUUCGUUCACUUUCAAGCUCAUCCAUGGAGUUUAACGGCGGAUCUAUAACCUUCAUCAUGUAAGCUCACCUUUUGAACUACUUCUUACAUGAUCUCUGCAUCAAACCGUGGGACUUAUUCAUAUCCAAAUGAUCUCACACAUGCAACAAAAAAAAUCAAAGAAAAAAUGUUAGAAAGAACCAGAGGGUGUGGUUGUCAGAGUGGGCCGAGUAGCUCCGGAAAGGAUAAACUUGAUGCUCUUGGUAGGCUCCUGACCCGAAUAAAAGCCUGAAAAUUGUAGCUUGGAUUUUUUCAGAGCUUUUUAGCUCAGCCUGUAAAAGCCCGUAACAUGUUCUUUAGAGUGGGGUGUAGCCCAAUUUAUAUCCAACAAAGCCUAAAUUAUUUGCGUUGUUUGUGUAUGUUUUAAUCAUGUACUGUAAUGUUUGUGUUGUUUGUAUAAGCCUUUUCUAUCUUUCUAUUUGGUUCUGUCGUUGUGCAUUCCAUUUUAAGAGGCUUCGUCUUAAAACAACAUAGGAAAGAUAUCAUUAGAUAACAUAGACUAUGAUGUUUUUUUUUUUUUUUUUUUUUUUUUUUUAUGUCAAGCUUCAAUUUCAAACAUGUAUCUUUUUAUUCAUGGCUUUCAAUUGUUUUUCAAUGUUUGGAUCCAACGCUCAAUUAUUACCACAAGGUGAAGGUACCCUUCAUUUCAUUUUCAAA